rnacentral:rRNA from 1 species
ACUCCUACGGGAGGCAAGCAGUGGAAUGAUUGCGACAAUGGGAAAGCCCUGAUGCAGCCAUGCCGCGUGUGUGAAGAAGGCCUUCGGGUUGUAAAGCACUUUCAGUAGGGAGGAAGGUAGUGUAGUUAACACCUGCAUUAUUUGACGUUACCUACAGAAGAAGCACCGGCUAACUCCGUGCCAGCAGCCGCGGUAAUACGGAGGGUGCGAGCGUUAAUCGGAAUUACUGGGCGUAAAGCGCAUGCAGGCGGCCUGUUAAGUCAGAUGUGAAAGCCCGGGGCUUAACCUCGGAAUUGCAUUUGAAACUGGCAGGCUAGAGUCUUGUAGAGGGGGUGA